AAACAAGUGCAACCUUUAAGGAACAAAAAAAAUUAAAAUCUGAAAAUUUCCCCAAAAAAAUAGCGCAACCUUAAUCUAGGAAUAAAAAAAAAAAACGACAGUCUCUCUUCCGUGCAAUCCAACGUCUCUCACAGCUCCAUCAUAACAUCUCCCUACACAGGUGACCGGCGAAGCCACCGGCGAAACCACACUCACACGCUCGCACCCUCUCUCAACCUUUACUCUCAACCCUAAACCCCAUUACUCUCUCGCUUUCUCUGCCGACAUUGAUCUAGAUUACACUCAAGCUCAAAUUGCUCUCUCAAUUUGAAGCUGUACGACACAUUGCAAACGAAAUCUAAAGACUUUGAGGUACUAAUUUGUCCCCCACCUUUUGAAUUUCGAUCUCUGGGUAUGUUUUGUUCUUGAUAUUUUUUCUAGUCUUGCUUGGGGUUUCGAUUUGGGGGUUUUCUUGGUAUGAGCUUAUUCAAAUUUCUCUCUUCAAGUUCCGAAAUUUUGGUUAUUUUCCAUGAUUUACAAGGUUAGAUAUUAGGUUUUCUAAAUUAUUUUCUGAUUUAGGUUUUGAUUUUAAAUUAAUAAUUAGCAAUAAUAUGAUCGAGUUUUAGUUUUCUUGGGUUGAGAAUUUUAGUGAGAUGCUUUUGCGACAAUAAUAUGAUUUUAAUUUUGGUAAUUAGCAAUAAGAUGAUCGAGUUUUUUUAUUGUAUAUUUGAAUCUAUUUUCUUCAAUAUCUAUUGCUCGGUGGUAGUGUUUGUUCAUGUUAAAUUUGUGGUCUUAUUGCUUGAAUUCGUUCUCUGUUUCUUUUUGCAUUAAUUUUUUAGUUUAAUAAUACUUUUAUUAUCUUAUAAUUUCGAAUUCAGAAGAAACCUCAUGUCAUUUGUUUAAAUUGUUGGGUUUUGUUUUUUGGUUGAUCUAAAAAUGAGGUUUCCUUUUGGUUGAUCUAUUAGUGAGUGGACUAGUUAUAUUGCUGACCGUGAAUAAGUUGAGGACUUGCUGGUACUUGACAUUAUUUUCACAGUUAACAUGGGUGCUGCUGGAUAUAGUUUAUAGUUUUAGAAGGAUAUGGAGAAUUAUCUACUCUGCCAUAUAUUUAAUUAGACAUUUUUACUAGUUAUGCCAUACAAGUAACAGUAGGAAUAUCAACGAGUUAUGAAUAUACCAUUCAGUGCCAUUUGGAAUUUCAAGUUUUGAUAAUGAGACUAUGGUUAUCAAUUUUGAUCUCCAUUUACAUUGUUUUGAUCAUCGGGAUAUGAUUAGCAAGUUUGCAGCUAAGAGUACUCUAACUUGUUAGCUAACUCAUAUUUUGAGAUUAAAUAGGAACCAAUUGGCAAAUAAAUGGAUCACGAUAAGAAAUAAUACAGGAGUUCUUGGUGUUGAAAAUUGCUAUGGAGGUGGAAUCAGUUUUGCAAUGGGAGUAGUUAGGCUGUCAUGGUCGAAGGUUUUUUAAAAAGCAGAUCAUACGAUAAAUAAGUGUCUGCUUGGCUGUAGUGGUGAAUGAAAUAUGGACAUUAAUUGAGAAAGGAUGAGUUCUUGAAUCUCUCUGUUGCUUCUAAUGUGCAUCUGUGUAUGUCUUUGUACUGCUUUUGUUCUGCACUAUACUUCUCUUCUGUUUUGCUCUUCUCGGCUACUGUUUCUGUAAUGCUCUAUACUGCUGCUGUAGUUGACUAGUUGCUGCUGCAGUUGGCUCUGUAUUGCUGCUGUUGUGCCUGCUCCAGUUGGCUCGAAUCAGCAAUAACAUGAUAAAAGUAUAGUUUAAGGUCUCAUAUAAUACAACCAGCACUAUAUCAUGAUGUAAGAACAACUAAACAAAUCCAGUUAUUGUUUACCCCCCCCCCAACUAAACAACUAAACUAAAUUAUCACCUCAGUUGAUCAACCUUCUGAAAAUGUCAUAAACUGAAAAGAAAAUCAAAACCAGUUAUUGUUUACCCCCCCCCCCCCCCACUCUUUCUUCUUUUCUUGGGUGUAAUUUUUUUGUUCUUCCAUUGCUCUCUCAGUUUUAUAAGGGUGAAUGUGGUUUCUUAUAAAGCAAUGUCAAUAGCCUUAUUAGGGUGAAUGUGGUUUCUUAUAAAGCAAUGUCAAUAGCGUUAUUAGGGUGAAUGUGGUUUCUUAUACAAAAAUCGCAUAGCUUUAUCAGGAGAAAUGUGGUUUCUUAUAAAGCAAUGGUACUCCAAUUCUUUCUGCUUUUUACGCUUUUCGCUUUUUAACCUUCUAGGAGAGCUUUUUGUUGUACAUUUUGGGCUUUCCAGUCUUUCGUUCUUCCCCCUUCUACAGCAGACUUGUUGUCCUCUGGUGAGUGCAAUUAACAUGAUUUUUGAUGCAUGCAAAGUUUUCUUUAACAUUGAAUUGCUGAUUUGAAGCAUUUGUAUAUUAAUAGUCGUAGGAUAGUUUAGGAGCUCCAUUCAUUUGUUGGACACAAUCUGGCAAGACAUGACCGACACCGAUUUAGAAAGAACAAAACAUAUCAUGGCGGAUAUGAUCUCCCCUGUUCUGUUGGACACAAUCAUUAAAGGUUCUUCUUUACUUAAGUUCCCCCUUGAAAUUUAUUUGAUCUACUCAGUUUGUAGAAGUUUUAAGCAUUUGUUUAGUGAGGUUCUUUGAUUUCUUGCUGUAUGAAUUUAUGUGAAAUUUAUUAUUCUUUGAUUUGUUUGAUCUACUCAAUUGAAAUAUUCUGUCUCCACAAUCAAUUUCCUUCUCUGUAGUUGAGUUCAUUUCUGUUUCAAAGUAAGAUAGCUAAAGUAUGCACCAAUUGAAAUGCCUUUUAUGUUCACUUGUCUUGAGGUCAAUCUUCAUCAUAUAAACAAUGUUCUUAGCAAAACGGUAAGUUGUGCUGCACAUAGUAAUUUGUGUAGGUGAUGGUAGUUAGUAUAUUGCUCAAGACUGGGCCAUUUAGUUCCUUCUGAAGAUAGAUAUUGUUGCAAUGAGGCACUAGUAGAGAAAACGUCAUUUGCAACUCCCUUUUUGCAACUCACACAUUGUGUGAAUGCUACGAGAAGUCAUCGGUCAACGCGGGUCAAGAAUUUAAUGACUUAAUUGCACCGAUUUUGGGCCCUGAACGCUGCAAUUUUUGGGGAAAAAAUUAAAAAACCUACUCGCAGCGAACCAUGGGAGUGCACGCUAAGAAAAGGUUGCUUAAUUGCAGCUUCCUACGGAUCUCCGCGCUGCGUGAACCUUUUUCCAGAUCUAAAAACAUUGUGAAGUCUCCUCUCUCCCUAGAACUCUCCGUCCAUUUCAAACCCUAGAAUUAAUUAUCUCUCUGUUUCAUCCAAUUCGUUCAAUGGCCAAUUCGUUAAAUGGGUUUAUGAAAGAGCUUCGAUAUGGUUCCUUCCAGCUCUCAUUACAAUCUAGACGAGUGGAUCGACUGCUGAUGUAGCGCAAGCCUCUCCGGCCCUCCUUCAAUAGAGAGAUAAAGAGAUGGCGGAUGAGAGAGAGGACGUCGACCUUGUACUGCGCUUGAAGUUCUACCUUCACUUCGUCAAUUGUGCUUUUAGUGGGGUGCAUGAGAAGGUCCCCUCUGUGACGAACCAAUCAGAAAUGUGAAAUUCAAGAUAGUUGAUGCUAGGAUUUCUCCUGAGCCACUACAUCGGGGUACUGGACAAAUAAUCCCGACAGCCCGCCGUGUGGCUUAUUGAGCUUUCCUUAUGGCAACCCCUCGUCUUAUGGAGCCAGUUUAUUAUGUGGAGAUACAAACACCGAUAAAUUGUGUUUCUGCGAUCUACACAGUUCUAUCUCGUAGGCGUGGCCAUGUGACUGAUGAUGUUCCACAACCAGGGACCCCAGCGUAUCUUGUGAAGUUUCAGGUCAUUGUAAUGAAUGCAAACAUGGGAUGCAGCUCCUGCCGUGACAAAGUCUUCAGAGUUUUGUCAAAAAUUACUGUAUGUUGCAGCUGAUGACGCUGGACCUCUAAUGUGAACAAUGCAGGUUGUAUUGCUUCUUGUGUUAUCUGGUGCGUUUCUUAGAGCCAAUCAAAUUUGUUUCUCCUGCGAUGCCACCCGAUACUGUGGGAACUGUGGUUGUUCUGUGUGGACAUGCAAUUGCUCAGAGUUCUUCAGCAAUCCUCGGGCAUAGUUAUUCGAGUGGGCUCGGUACGAGGAGGAUGACACUCAUUCAAAGAGAGGUGUUCUCCUGCUAUAUAGAGCAAGGUUUGAAAUGGAGCAUAAUAUAGGUUUGAAAUGGAGCUCCUUUUUGCAGUAUCAAAGCCGAUCCUCGAAUUUCUACCGUCAAUAUUAUCUGGAUUAAUCAUGGCACAACAACUUGGGUGCAAAGUCCCUGUAGGAGUACAAAGGGUGUAGCAGUACAAAGGGUGAAUUAGCUGUGGAAGUAGCUCUGGAGAAGGAAGCAGUCAGGCUAACUGGUGAUGCAUGGAGGAUUGUCCUAGAUUGUUGUCUGCCUGUUUUCCACCUGAUUGAUACUAGGCGCUCUAUUCCAUAUGAAAUAAAACAAAUCCAAGACCUUUGUGGAAUAUCAUGUGCCUUUGAUCAAGCAGUGCAGGUUUUCAAAACUCCAAGGGAGGGGACCUUUACCAAGAAGGAGUUGGAUGAAGUUCGAGACAAGUGGGCUACUUACUUCAACGAUUGUGAACUACCCUCAGUGUAAUAAGUAGAACAAGCUUGUAGUUAUCCGUUACUCUUACAUUAUUUUGUUAUUUAUCGAUUUAAUUAAUUACAUUUGAAUUAAUACGGUAAAAUUAUUGGAAAUUUGAAAUUAAUAUCA